rnacentral:rRNA from 1 species
UACAGAGGGGGCAAGCGUUGUUCGGAAUUACUGGGCGUAAAGGGCGCGUAGGCGGCCUGUUAAGUCGAACGUGAAAUCCCCGGGCUCAACCCGGGAACUGCGUCCGAUACUGGCAGGCUUGAAUCCGGGAGAGGGAUGCGGAAUCCAGGUGUAGCGGUGAAAUGCGUAGAUAUCUGGAGGAACACCGGUGGCGAAGGCGGCAUCCUGGACCGGUAUGACGCUGAGGCGCGAAAGCCAGGGGAGCAA